AUAUCAAUAAGCGGAGGAAAAGAAACCAACCGGGAUUGCCUCAGUAACGGCGAGUGAAGCGGCAAGAGCUCAAAUUUGAAAUCUGGUGCCUUCGGUACCCGAGUUGUAAUUUGAAGAGGAUGCCUCGGUUGCAGCCACGGCCCAAGUUCCUUGGAACAGGACGUCGCAGAGGGUGAGAAUCCCGUUCAGCGGCUGCCGGCUUGCUUCCAUGUGUGGCUCCUUCGAAGAGUCGAGUUGUUUGGGAAUGCAGCUCAAAAAUGGGUGGUAAAUUCCAUCUAAAGCUAAAUACUGGCGAGAGACCGAUAGCGCACAAGUAGAGUGAUCGAAAGAUGAAAAGCACUUUGAAAAGAGAGUUAAACAGUAC
rnacentral:rRNA from 1 species